AGAGUUUGAUCCUGGCUCAGAAUCAACGCUGGCGGCGUGCCUAACACAUGCAAGUCGAACGAGAAAGUGGAGCAAUCCAUGAGUAAAGUGGCGACCGGGUGAGUAACACGUGACUAACCUACCCUAAAGUGGGGGAUAACUCCGGGAAACCGGGGCUAAUACCGCAUAACAUCGCGAGGGGAAGAUCCUUGUGAUCAAAGGAGCAAUCCGCUGAAGGAGGGGGUCGCGGCUGAUUAGUUAGUUGGUGAGGUAACGGCCCACCAAGACAAAGAUCAGUAUCCGGCCUGAGAGGGCGCACGGACACACUGGAACUGAAACACGGUCCAGACUCCUACGGGAGGCAGCAGUGGGGAAUUUUGCGCAAUGGGGGAAACCCUGACGCAGCAACGCCGCGUGGAGGAUGAAGUCCCUUGGGAUGUAAACUCCUUUCGAUCGGGACGAUUAUGACGGUACCGGAAGAAGAAGCACCGGCUAACUCUGUGCCAGCCGCCGCGGUAAUUC
rnacentral:rRNA from 1 species